CAGCACCUCAAGUGGUCAGGAUGAUUAUUGGGCCUAAAGCAUCCGUAGCCGGCUCUGUAAGUUUUCGGUUAAAUCUGUAUGCUCAACAUACAGGCUGCCGGGAAUACUGCAGAGCUAGGGAGUGGGAGAGGUAGACGGUACUCGGUAGGAAGGGGUAAAAUCCUUUGAUCUAUUGAUGACCACCUGUGGCGAAGGCGGUCUACCAGAACACGUCCGACGGUGAGGGAUGAAAGCUGGGGAGCAAACCGGAUUAGAUACCCGAGUAGUCC
rnacentral:rRNA from 1 species